AUUUUUUGUAAUCUAAAACUGUUCUAAAAAUAAAUUUUAUUUAAAAAUAAUAAGAUACAAUAAUUUGAUUUUCCGUUCUUCUUUCAAGCUUUGGAAGCAGUCUCAAAGGAGAUAUUAAGACUCACUAGAGAGCUAAGUUUGAGAGGUAAGUUUGUGGGCUUUUUUUGUAAGAACAGAGCCCCAGAGAAGCCACUCUCCAACCAACAAAUCCUUCUCUGAAAGAGUUCAUCAGUGAAUACUACUCAUAAGAACUUACUGUCCCAGAAGACAGUCUCUCACGUCUGGAAUUCUCGAAAUCACUGGUUCCAACUGGAUCACUCUCCGCAAAUGGCCUCAGCAUUAAAGAAUGAUCUCUUUUUAUAAACUUCAACAGAAGUUGCUGAGACUUCCAGGAUGAUGUGAACAAGAGCCGUGGGAGAAAGCAUCCUGGCCUUGCACCUGGUCUGAUGAAGACAGCACUUGGUCAUUCACCACCCUACUCUGGAGAAUGUUACUCUGGAUAACAGGAAGUCAUCCAAAAAAUUCUAGCUUGGCUUCUAUCUGUGAUGGUUCCAAUUCAAAGUCUUUGCUACGCUGUUUGGGUCUUCCCAGCAUAUGCACCAUAUAAAAGCUGAGGAAAUUCAGGAAGAGAAAGUUAAGUAACCUGACCAAGAUCAGAGAGUGAAG
rnacentral:lncRNA from 10 species